UGAUGGGCCCGACGUCGCAUGCUCCCGGCCGCCAUGGCGGCCGCGGGAAUUCGAUUAUCCGGAAUUAUUGGGCGUAAAGCGCGCGUAGGCGGUUUUUUAAGUCUGAUGUGAAAGCCCACGGCUCAACCGUGGAGGGUCAUUGGAAACUGGAAAACUUGAGUGCAGAAGAGGAAAGUGGAAUUCCAUGUGUAGCGGUGAAAUGCGCAGAGAUAUGGAGGAACACCAGUGGCGAAGGCGACUUUCUGGUCUGUAACUGACGCUGAUGUGCGAAAGCGUGGGGAUCAAACAGGAUUAGAUACCCUGGUAGUCCACGCCGU
rnacentral:rRNA from 1 species